rnacentral:misc_RNA from 1 species
GGAAGGAUCAUUACAGAGUUCAUGCCCUUACGGGUAGAUCUCCCACCCUUGAAUUAUACUACAUUGUUGCUUUGGCAGCCGUCACACGCUGCCAGAGGAUAAACCAAACUCUUUUUAAUAUGUCGUCUGAGUAUUAUAUAAUAGUUAAAACUUUCAACAACGGAUCUCUUGGUUCUGGCAUCGAUGAAGAACGCAGCGAAAUGCGAUAAGUAAUGUGAAUUGCAGAAUUCAGUGAAUCAUCGAAUCUUUGAACGCACAUUGCGCCCCUUGGUAUUCCGGGGGGCAUGCCUGUUCGAGCGUCAUUAUAACCCUCAAGCCUAGCUUGGUGUUGGAGCAUGUCUUUAGGCAGCUCUUAAAAUCAGUGGCAGUGCCUCUCGGCUCUAAGCGUAGUAAUACUCCUCGCUAUAGUGUCCGUUAGGUCCGCGCCAGAACCCCUAAUUUUUCUAUGGUUGACCUCGGAUCAGGUAGGGAUACCCGCUGAACUUAAGCAUAUCAAUAAGCGGAGGAAAAGAAACCAACAGGGAUUACCUCAGUAACGGCGAGUGAAGCGGUAAUAGCUCAAAUUUGAAAUCUGGCUCUUUAGGGUCCGCAGUUGUAAUUUGUAGAGAUGCUUUGGGUGUAGGCUCCGGUCUAAGUUCCUUGGAACAGGACGUCAUAGAGGGUGAGAAUCCCGUAUGUGACUGGAUAGCCUUACGCCGUGUAAAGCUCCUUUCGACGAGUCGAGUUGUUUGGGAAUGCAGCUCUAAAUGGGUGGUAAAUUUCAUCUAAAGCUAAAUAUUGGCGAGAGACCGAUAGCGCACAAGUAGAGUGAUCGAAAGAUGAAAAGCACUUUGGAAAGAGAGUUAAACAGUACGUGAAAUUGUUGAAAGGGAAGCGCUUGCAACCAGACUUGCGGUUUAAAUCUGGUUCUCACCAGUGCACUUCUGACCGCGUUACUCAGUUGGCCAGCAUCGGUUUCGGUGGCUGGAUAAAGGCCUUGGGAAUGUAGGCCUUCCUUCGGGGAGGUGUUAUAGCCCUCGGUGCAAUGCAGGCCUAGCCGGGACUGAGGACCGCGCUUCGGCUAGGAUGCUGGCGUAAUGGUUGUAAGCGACCCGUCUUGAAACACGGACCAAGGAGUCUAACAUCUAUGCGAGUGUUUGGGUGUCAAACCCAUACGCGUAAUGAAAGUGAACGGAGGUGAGAACCCUAAGGGUGCAUCAUCGACCGAUCCUGAUGUCUUCGGAUGGAUUUGAGUAAGAGCAUAGCUGUUGGGACCCGAAAGAUGGUGAACUAUGCGUGAAUAGGGUGAAGCCAGAGGAAACUCUGGUGGAGGCUCGCAGCGGUUCUGACGUGCAAAUCGAUCGUCAAAUUUGGGCAUAGGGGCGAAAGACUAAUCGAACCAUCUAGUUAGCUGGUUCCUGC